rnacentral:rRNA from 1 species
UACGAAGGGGGCUAGCGUUGCUCGGAAUCACUGGGCGUAAAGGGCGCGUAGGCGGCCAUUCAAGUCGGGGGUGAAAGCCUGUGGCUCAACCACAGAAUUGCCUUCGAUACUGUUUGGCUUGAGUAUGGCAGAGGUCAGUGGAACUGCGAGUGUAGAGGUGAAAUUCGUAGAUAUUCGCAAGAACACCAGUGGCGAAGGCGGCUGACUGGGCCAUUACUGACGCUGAGGCGCGAAAGCGUGGGGAGCGAACAGG